rnacentral:rRNA from 1 species
UACGUAGGGGGCAAGCGUUGUCCGGAAUCAUUGGGCGUAAAGAGCGUGUAGGCGGCUUGGUAGGUCUGCUGUGAAAACUCGGGGCUCAACCCCGAGACGUCGGUGGAAACUUCCUGGCUAGAGUCCGGAAGAGGAGAGUGGAAUUCCUGGUGUAGCGGUGAAAUGCGCAGAUAUCAGGAAGAACACCCGUGGCGAAGGCGGCUCUCUGGGACGGUACUGACGCUGAGACGCGAAAGCGUGGGGAGCGAACAGG